GUGUCAGCCGCCGCGGUAAUACGUAGGGACCAAGCGUUGUUCGGAUUUACUGGGCGUAAAGGGAGCGUAGGCGGCAAUUCAAGUCAGUUGUGAAAUCUUCGAGCUUAACUCGGAACGGUCAACUGAUACUGCUUUGCUAGAGUACAGAAGGGGCAAUCGGAAUUCUUGGUGUAGCGGUGAAAUGCGUAGAUAUCAAGAGGAACACCUGAGGUGAAGACGGGUUGCUGGGCUGAUACUGACGCUGAGGCUCGAAAGCUAGGGGAGCAAACGGGAUUAGAUACCCCUGUAGUCC
rnacentral:rRNA from 1 species